rnacentral:rRNA from 1 species
UACGUAGGGUGCGAGCGUUAAUCGGAAUUACUGGGCGUAAAGCGUGCGCAGGCGGCUUUGCAAGACAGAUGUGAAAUCCCCGGGCUCAACCUGGGAACUGCAUUUGUGAUUGCAAGGCUAGAGUACGGCAGAGGGGGAUGGAAUUCCGCGUGUAGCAGUGAAAUGCGUAGAUAUGCGGAGGAACACCAAUGGCGAAGGCAAUCCCCUGGGCCUGUACUGACGCUCACGCACGAAAGCGUGGGGAGCAAACAGG